GAUCCUGGCUCAAGAUGAACGCUAGCUACAGGCUUAACACAUGCAAGUCGAGGGGCGAGCAUGGUCUUAGCUUGCUAAGGCCGAUGGCGACCGGCGCACGGGUGAGUAACGCGUAUCCAACCUGCCUUACACUCUUGGACAGCCUUCUGAAAGGGAGAUUAAUACAAGAUGUUAUCAUGAGUAAGCAUUUUCGCUAUGGAUUAAAGGUUUACCGGUGUAAGAUGGGGAUGCGUUCCA
rnacentral:rRNA from 1 species